rnacentral:rRNA from 1 species
GCAGACGUACCAUACCACCCUGAAUGUGCUCAAUCUCCUCUGAUCUUGGAAGCUAAGUAUUCUUGGGCCUGGUUAGUACUUGGAUAGGAGAAAUUUCUUGAGACCCAGCUUCUUAAGCA